GGCAGAGAGGCUUGUGAUAAUUUUCCUUCCUGACACAUAAUGUAAUAAGAACAGAAAAUAUUAUUGAAUUUAACUGAACAAAGAGAAGUUUAGAUUCACUCCCUCCUUAGUUUAUAGACACACAUGAAAAUGGAAGAAUGCUGUAAUCAAGCCAGCUGGAAACUGGAAACCCUAUUUUGAAUGUUUCCUAAAAUCACUGUCAAGAGGGAUGGAAUAGAAAAUGUGUCAGCUAAAACCAUUGAGUCCUUUCUGACAAUAAGAUUAGAAGCCUCAUGAUUUUGCCUGUAUUAAAAAGAAACCACCCUGUAUUAAAAGAGCAGUUGUAAACCCCAAUGGACUACAAGGAGAAGUUUAGCAGUUGUAUGAAAGAAAGAGUUGACUUACUGAAGUAAAAGCCUCUCUCUCCACAUACGAACUGAAGAGCAUCAACCAGCUCAGCACCACAGAGCGUCUCUGGGCCAGCAGCAGCAGAACUGGUUAAGGACCAUUGAGUUCUUCAAAAUGCCUGUGGGGAGAGCAAAACACCUUUCCAAUCCAAGUGAUUGAAGCUGGGCUGUCACUGAUUAUUCCAACCCAGUGAAGACCUUGACCUCAGCACAUGUUGUUCUUGCAAGGUGCCAAGAACCUUUUCCUCACCUUUCUUCUGAAGAAUUGCAAAUCCAUAAUUUUUGAUCUUUCUCUGGGAACGUUCUCUCCCAAACUCUGGAAGCAGCAUCUUGAGAACGAUCCACAUUUCAAAACAGAAUGAAGAUGCAUGUGUUGGAAGAAUGUCAAAGAAAAGGAGACACUGAAAGACUGAAACAACAGGGAGCUUUGUAGCUGGCAAACUACAGUGAUUGUACCAGAUGAGGAAUGGGUGCAGCAAGCAGAACCUCAGUCAGAGGGUCCUGUUGACUUUUGCGAGUAGAAGGAAUGAGCUGAAUGUGACAGCUUAUAUCCUCUUUGGUUCUUUAAGACUUUGAAAUGUAAGAGCAGGCUGCCAUCCCUGAAGAUUAUGCUCUGUUCAUGGCCUAGUAUGCAGACUUAUUUUCCUGUGAUUUGGAGAACUACUUCUGAAUCAAUCAAUCUUGUAAAGCACAGCUCCUUCCUUUAGGUCAUAUUGGAAGCUGGUAAUCUGUAAAAAUAUAAAUGUUUCAUUUUCCAAGUAUGUGAUCAUUUUACAUCUAAAUUGUGUGGAAGGAAGAUAACUUUUACUUGUUUCAUAUAAAACCUGAAUUUAUAUGUGACAGAGAGAGGGAGGGAAAGCCUGCAAUUUGCUUGCAUUUUCUAAUUUUAAAUGCCCUCUAUAUUUCUGUGUAGAGAGAACAGAGCUUUUUUAUCUUUUUUUUU